rnacentral:rRNA from 1 species
UACGAAGGGGGCUAGCGUUGUUCGGAAUUACUGGGCGUAAAGCGCGCGUAGGCGGUGAUCUUUGUCAGAGGUGAAAGCCUGGGGCUCAACUCCAGAAUUGCCUUUGAAACGGGAUUGCUUGAGUCCGAGAGAGGAUGGCGGAAUUCCUAGUGUAGAGGUGAAAUUCGUAGAUAUUGGGAAGAACACCGGUGGCGAAGGCGGCGACCUGGUCCUUGACUGACGCUGAGGCGCGAAAGCGUGGGGAGCAAACAGG